rnacentral:rRNA from 1 species
GACGAACGCUGGCGGCGUGCUUAACACAUGCAAGUCGAACGGAAAGGCCUCUUUCGGGGGGUACUCGAGUGGCGAACGGGUGAGUAACACGUGAGUAACCUGCCCUUGACUUUGGGAUAACUUCAGGAAACUGGGGCUAAUACCGGAUAGGAGCUCCUGCUGCAUGGUUGGGGUUGGAAAGUUUCGGAGGUUGGGGAUGGACUCGCGGCGUAUCAGCUUGUUGGUGGAGUAGUGGCUUACCAAGGCUUUGACGGGUAGCCGGCCUGAGAGGGUGAGCGGCCGCAUUGCGACUAAGACACGGACAAGAGCCCAGCGGGUGGAAGGGGAGCAGAAUAAUGCACGAUGAGUGGAGGCCCGAUGCAGAAACACCGUGUACUGUAAGACGGCCUUCGGGUUGUAACCCGAUUUCGCUCCUGACGAAGCUUUGUGUGACGGUAGUGAGUAAAGAAGCACCGGCUAACUACGUG